UACAGAGGGGGCAAGCGUUAUUCGGAAUUAUUGGGCGUAAAGGGCGCGUAGGCGGCUUGGCAAGUGGAAGGUGAAAUCCCUCGGCUUAACCGAGGAACUGCCCUCCAAACUGCUGUGCUUGAGGCCGGGAGAGGUGAGUGGAAUUCCCAGUGUAGCGGUGAAAUGCGUAGAUAUUGGGAGGAACACCAGUGGCGAAGGCGGCUCACUGGACCGGUUCUGACGCUGAGGCGCGAAAGCGUGGGGAGCAAACGGG
rnacentral:rRNA from 1 species